UCGUGCUAGUUGGGGAGGUAGCGGUGCCUUGUAACCUACAAUCCGCUAUAGUAGGAAUGAUGUCUAUUUAAGGCUUUCUCCUUUUAGGUCUUGCCCUGUAAAAGUGGUGUUGACAACCUAGUCUUACGCAAUAGAUGCUUGUGAACCGUGUCAGGUCUUGACGGAAGCAGCACUAAGCAAGAUUUUUUAUGUGCCGUAAGGGUGCUGGGUUUGAGCUAACUAUACAGGUAACGCUAGAAGGUGUCUGUCGAAAAUAGAUGCACGG
rnacentral:SRP_RNA from 1 species